AAAAUACCAACAGCCACUGGGGAUCCUAAUAAAAUACCAACAGCCAAUGGGGAUCCUAAUAAAAUACCAACAGCCAAUGGGGAUCCUAAUAAAAUACCAACAGCCAAUGGGGAUCCUAAUAAAAUACCAACAGAAAAAACCUACAGUGAGACUUUAUAAACUCAGAAAAAGAUAAGUUUCCUAAAACUUGAACAAAAUGAAAAUACUGUACUUAGUGCUUAAAUUACUUAAAACAAUUUUCCAUUUUAAAAGGAAAACAAGGAUUUUGUGGUUAAUAUAUAAAAUGUUUAUUUAAAAUAUAAACAGUACGUAAUAUCAUAUCACUCUAAAUGUGUUUAACUACUACCUAUUUCUCUUUCUGAAGACUUAUGUGCUCUCUUGCUCUUAGAUAUCUAUAUUAAUAUAACUUUCAAAUAAAGGUCCAGGAAAAGAGUAUGACCAUUAAUAUAUAUCGUUGUGUUAUUAUUUCAUUAACAUACCUCAAACAAAAAUCUUGAUGGAGAGAGGACCUUUCUGUCCUGCUAAUUUACAGUGCAAUUUCCUCAUAAUUUACCUGCUAAUUUACAGUGUCAUUUCCUCAUAUUUUACCUGCUAAUUUACAGUGUCAUUUCCUCAUAAUUUACCUGCUAAUUUACAGUGUCAUUUCCUCAUAAUUUACCUGCUAAUUUACAGUGUCAUUUCCUCAUAAUUUACCUGCUAAUUUACAGUGUCAUUUCCUCAUAAUUUACCUGCUAAUUUACAGUGUCAUUUCCUCAUAAUUUACCUGCUAAUGCGGCUAUUUGUUCUGCAUGUUGCGUGAAAACAAAUCUGCGUCGCAAAUGGCACCCUAUUCCGAAUAUAGUGCACUACUUUUCACCAAGGCCCUUGGGGCUCGGGUCGUAAGUUGUGCACUAUGUAGGGAAUAGGGUGCCAUUUGGGUCACUGACCAAAUAACCCAUUCUAACACAACACAAACAUGAGUUUGUUUGAACUACAGUAGGUUGUUAAUGAUAUCCUGCUUAUACAGUAGGUUGUUAAUGAUAGGCUGCUUCUACAGUAGGUUGUUAAUGAUAGGCUGAUUCUACAGUAGGUUGUUAAUGAUAGGCUGCUUCUCCAGUAGGUUGUUAAUGAUAGGCUGAUUCUACAGUAGGUUGUUAAUGAUAGGCUGAUUCUACAGUAGGUUGUUAAUGAUUGGCUGAUUAUACAGUAUGCUUUUAAUGAUAGGCUGAUUAUACAGUAGGUUGUUAAUGAUUGGCUGAUUAUACAGUAUGCUUUUAAUGAUAGGCUGAUUAUACAGUAGGUUGUUAAUGAUAGGCUGCUUCUACAGUAGGUUGUUAAUGAUAGGCUGAUUCUACAGUAGGUUGUUAAUGAUAGGCUGAUUCUACAGUAGGUUGUUAAUGAUAGGCUGAUUAUACAGUAGGUUGUUAAUGAUAGGCUGAUUAUACAGUAGGUUGUUAAUGAUAGGCUGAUUAUACAUUAGGCUGUUAAUGAUAGGCUGAUUCUACAGUAGGUUGUUAAUGAUAGGCUGAUUAUACAGUAGGUUGUUAAUAAUAUCCUACUUUUACAGUAGGUUGUUAAUGAUAGGCUGAUUAUACAGUAGGUUGUUAAUAAUAGGCUGCUUCUACAGUGCAGAAAUAAGUAUUUUGCAGAAAUACAGUAAGUGUUUAGUGUUUUAACGUAAGUUAUUUUUGUGUGUUGCUGUCCAUUGACUGAUGGGGGAUAUCAGGCUAUUUUGUUAUUUUUAUAUGAAUUAUUGAAUAACUCAUUGUACUCCGUUGAUGUGAUAUGUGUACUUAUUAAGGUAGCGAGGUAUUGUAGUGAUGCACAGUGGUGAUUUCUAGUCACAAUAUGCCAGCAGCAGACCACCCUGCAUCCCACUGCUGGCUUGCUUCUGAAGCUAAGCAGGGUUGGUCCUGGAUGGGAGACCAGAUGCUGCUGGAAGUGGUGUUGGAGGGCCAAUAGGAGGAAUUGUAGUGAUGCACAGUGGUGAUUUCUAGUCACAAUAAACUACUAAUGUUUUCAGUUAAUACUCUUCAGGAUUUUGUAUGAUUUUUAUUAGCCUGGGUGCCAGUCUGUAUAGCCAGUUAUACAUGAUUUUUAUUAGCCUGGGUGCCAGUCUGUAUAGCCAGUUAUACAUGUGUCACGUCCUAACCAGUAAAAGGGGUUGUUUGUUAUUGUAGUUUGGUCAGGGCAUGGCAGGAGGUGUUUGUUUAGGGUGUUUCGGGGUGUUUUGGUUUAUGUUCUAUGUUAGUGUAUUUCUAUGUUCGUUCUAUUUGUUCUAUUUCUAUGCGUAGUUUAUUGGGUUGAUCUUCAAUUGGAGGCAGCUGUUCCUCGUUGCCUCUAAUUGAAGGUCCUAUUUAAUAGAGGUGUUUUUGUCAUGGGAUUUGUGGGUAGUUGUUUCUCUGUAUAGUCAUUUUGUCCUUACGAGACAGUUUUUUCG
rnacentral:lncRNA from 1 species